rnacentral:lncRNA from 1 species
CUACUAAAGGGAAUGGCUGAUAGAGGUUGUGAGCCAAAUGUUGUGACAUACAAUGCAAUCAUUGACGCCCUUUGCAAAGAUGAGCUAGUUGGUGAGGCUUUAGAGCUCUUCUCUCAAAUGAGGAAUAAGGGCAUUUCACCUGAUGUCAUCACUUACACUGGUUUAAUUUACGGUGUUUGCAAAUUAGGCCAAAAGAACCAAGCUUUGGCCUUGAUGAAUGAAAUGGUGGAGCAGAACAUAUCACCUGAUGUUUAUACCUUCAAUGUAUUGAUUGACGCUCUUUGUAAGGAUGGAAUGGUUUCAGAGGCUCAAAAUACAUUCAAUAUAAUGAUUCAAAGAGGUGUAGAGCCUAAUGUGGUCACCUACACUUCCUUAAUUGAUGGUCUUUGCAUUUCAGACCAAUUCAAGGAAGCUUUUGCCUUGUUGAAAGAAAUGGUGGGGAGGAACAUAUCCCCUAAUGUUUUUACCUUCAAUAUAUUGAUCGACACUCUUUGUAAGAAAGGACUGGUUUCAAAUGCACAGAUUAUAAUCAAAAUAAUGAUUCAAAGAGGUGUGGAGCCUAAUACUGUCAAUUAUAAUUCAUUGAUGGAUGGUUAUUGUCUUUGCAAGCAAAUUGAUAAGGCUAGAAAGCUAUUUGAUCUGAUGGUGACCAAUGAAAUAGCUGACAUUUUUAGCUACAGCAUUUUGAUCAAUGGAUAUUGUAAGUGCAAAAUGAUAGAUGAUGCAAAGGAUAUUUUUGUUGAAAUGUCUCAUAAAGGUUUAGUUCCUGAUGCUGUUACUUAUCAUACUCUUAUAAAGGGUAUGUUUCAAGCAGGAAGGCCCCAAAAUGCAAAAGAGCUCUUUAGGAAUAUGUGCUCUCAUGGUCAACAGCCAAAUAUAGUAACCUUCUCAAUUAUGAUUAAUGGCUUGUGUAGUCAGGGGAAUCUGGAUGAAGCACUCACCCUAUUGAAAGAAAUGGAGGAAAGUCGGUUGAAGCCUGAUCUUGUGACCUAUUGCAUUCUGAUCAAUGGUAUGUGCAAAGUUGGGAAGAUUAAUGAUGCCAAGGAACUUUUUUCUAGUCUUUUUGAAAUUGGUUUACAACCUGAUGUUUAUGUAUAUAAUGCAAUUAUGAAAGGACUCUGCCAACAAGGACUAAUGGACGAAGCGUAUAAGGUAUUUAGAGACAUGGAAAAGGGAGGAUGUUUACCGAAUAAUUGUUGUUAUAAUAUCAUCAUUCAAGGGUUUCUCAAGCAUGAGGAUUUACCAAAAGCAUCAGAACUAAUCAACGAAAUGGUUGAUAAGGGGUUCUCUGCUGAUGAUGCUAACACAGCAUUGGUAGUACAUUUAUCGCGGAAUAAUGAUCUCAUUCUGAGGCUUUUAAAGGUGCGCAAUGAGGGAUCAGCAAACUAAAGUUGUUAUAUCUUGACCAUUCAAGUUGUCUUGGAGCGCAACUUGGUAAUUACCUUUUUCAAAUAUAAUAGAUAUGUAAUUUAACUAACUUCUUCAAAUAUCAUUUUUAAUUUCAAUCAGCUGUGAUUCUCUUCCACAAAAUAAAAAUUUCUAACACGGCAAAUGACCUGUGGUGGAAACCAUGACAUGUGUGUGCCUUUCGCUUGAAUUCAGACAUGGACUUGAUCUCUUUGAGAUAAGAUUGUUGAUGAAUGGAGGUCAUGGAUUUCUAAUGAUCAAGUUGCUGGUAAACCCACCAUCUCCUUACAAUUUUUUAUUGGCUGCUACUACAGCCUCAACUGGAGAGCUCAGUCCUAAAAUUGAGUUGAGAACUAAAACUAAUUGGUUCCAUACUACAAUGCUUAAGAAUCUUUAUCUAUUUUUAUUUUUGUGCUCAAUGACCUUUUAAAAUGCUAUCAUUUCUCUUGUAGGUACUUGCAAGGAUAUGAUUACAACUUCACCUUUCUAACAAUAAAAAAGGUCUAAGCAAUUCUUUUUUGCUUAAUUAUUAUUCUAUUUUUAAUAAUUUUGAAAAUAAUGAUUAUAAAUCAGUGUGCUUUAAUUGAGAAUUGAUUUAACAAUUAGACUACACUAUAAAUGCAGGGUGCAGGAUAUACGGUCCCAGAGUACAAGGUAAGAGAAUCACUACACAUCUACAGCUGUUGGUUGGAUGAAAUGUCACUAAAAUUAUACACAACCGAAAAUGUUAUGGGAAUUGGGGAAAGGCAAACAUCCUCUUUGUNNNNNNNNNNNNNNNNNNNNNNNNNNNNNNNNNNNNNNNNNNNNNNNNNNNNNNNNNNNNNNNNNNNNNNNNNNNNNNNNNNNNNNNNNNNNNNNNNNNNNNNNNNNNNNNNNNNNNNNNNNNNNNNNNNNNNNNNNNNNNNNNNNNNNNNNNNNNNAUAUAUAUAUAUAUAUAUAUAUAGAUCCUUAAUUUCUUUUAUUUUCCUUCAAGUCAAAUUAGUGAAAUCAUUGCAUUAGCAUCUAAUAAUAUGAAGUUCACAAUCUUUUCCAAUGAAAUCAAUUUUUUAACAUGAAAAUUUGAAUUUUAGAAAUGUUUGUGGAAGGUAUAUAUAUUCUUCCCUUCGAGAUUCUUUAUUUUGUGCCAAGUUGAUUGGAUGUACUGUUUGAAAUGUUAGUUAAGUUAGGCAAGAAAAGUUGUUUUGGUUGUUUCUUUUCUCCUUUCAGCAGUAUAUAAUGAGACAUCUUAUGUUUUUACCACUUUCUAAUAUACUACUCAAUAAAAUUUUCUUUGGGCUCUUGUUUGUACAUGGUAUUUUUCUUUUUGCUUGAUGAUUCUUGAAGUUUUUGUGACUGCAUCCAUGGGAAUUGGUUUGUUAGGGAAGGUGGGGCUGACAGGGUACAUAUUGAGAGGUAGGAAACCAAUUGCAAAAUGAUUCAGAUCCUUUUACUCUUCAAAACUCAGAUAAUCCAAGUAGAAUUCUCAUAUCUGCACCGUUAAAUUAAGUAUAAAGAAUAUAUAGUUAAAAAGAUAAAUCUAUUUAUAUCCAUUUAAUUUUAAUUUUUUUUUAUCCGUUUGUAAAUUUAUUUUUUUUAUAGUGCUAGAGGUUUAAUAAGUUGGAGAGAGCAGGGCUCACAGCAGCCUCACUCUCUUGUAACCAUUCAAAGACUCGAGUCAUAUCAGUGGCGUUAAUAGCAUCUCUUGAUAUGUCACCUCUCUAGAAAAUUUGAACCCAUCCUAAAAAAAAAAGCAAGCAAACCACCGCACUUUCAGUGGCCGGAAGAGUGAUAUCACAUCUAUGAAUUGACUUAAACCAAGACUGGUCUUUAAAAUACUCUCACCAUGAAGCUCUAAAUUUACAACUGCAAAAGUAAAAAUAGAAAAACACAAUAUUUUCACCCCAGCCAUAGAGACAAGGAGAGUAAACCCAUAUCCAAGACUCGAGGAAGCCAUCCCUUAAAAGGAACAGGGAACGGUUGCAGGACUAACCAUUAGUAGAGAAACAAGGUUUGCCCUCAGAAGUAAACAGGCAGAGAUAAAGCACUCUCUCUUUAACUUUCACGGCUCUUAUUCAAAAAUUUGAUUUCAAAUUAUAAAAAUAUGCUUUUAUAUUAUAGCAAUUCUUAUCUAAACCAGCUUAACAUUAACUUAAAAUAUAAAUAUAUAAGAUUUUUCUUACAUUAGGUUUACAUAACUAUUUUUUUAUAUAUUAAAUAUACCCUUAAUUAAAAUGAUUUUUUUUCUAUUACAUGAAAAUAUAUUUGCACCUAUUUUCAAAUAAAACUUUAAUAUAAUUAAAAUAAACUAUGUUUGCCUUUGGUUAACAUACCAUUCACUCAUAUUACUCCUUAAAUAUUAAAGAACUCAUACUAUUAGAAGAUUUUUAAAAUCAGUAAAUUUUACUUUUUUUCAAUAGAUAUUAAAUAGAAUAUAUUAAUAAACUAAUAAAUAAAUCAUCAUAUACAAGUUCAUAUAAUUUAACAUUACACUGCUGAUUGCAACUACUUAGCUCCAUAACGCCAUUCUCUAAAACCCCAACUCUCACACCCAACCCUCUGCAAUAAACACAGAAACAAAACCUCAUCUCUCUCUCUCUCUCUCCCCUCAAAAGAAAAUCAAUAUAUAAUAUGUAAGUGAUCAAGUGAUUGAUUAUGGACAUCAUAGAUCUAACAGAAAAUUAUACCUUGCAAUUCACCCCCACAAAAAUAUUUUCCCGGCAAAGAACGAUCAUUCGAGCCGCUGUGUAUUCGAGCUCUCCAAUGACCACAGCUUGAAGUUACUUCAUUGUCUUGUUAGUGAAUGAUCAAGUAAUUCUUGAGAAGCAUUACCUCUUCUGGUUGGUAUUAAUUUUGUUGAGAAGCAAGCCAGGCAUCUCAUCAAUAAUGGCGAUUUACGCUUAUAGGAACGCGCUGAGCAGCUUCGCUACUGUUUCCGAACCAUUCACUGUUAUAAGAAGACCAAAGAGAAAGUCCACUUUUGUAUGAUAAGCUGUCAAUGAGAAAAUGAUCCUGAAUUCCUAUUCGUUGCCUCGGUGUGCUCAUCGACCUCGCCUUUGCCUUUGCAGAUUCUGUUGCAGCCAUGUAAGUUGGGAAAACAGGAGAAUUCAGUGCAGAACUGUCAUCUCCUGUAGUAUUCCGUUGUGUCCGACAAAAUGAUCUUCUUGGAAAUGACACUGGUGAACUCAAUGCUUCUAUGUUAUCUCGUUUCCGUGAACUCAUUUUCACUUGUGUUGUACCAAAUAUGUCACUUGCUUUCAGAUUCUCUAUCCGUUCUCUAGCCAAUUCUUCCAGCCAGUGUCUCUGUCUAUCAGGUUCAUUCUUGGCUAUUGAUUCUUCCAGUACAUAGAUAAGAAAGUAAAAAAGAGAUGUUUUUUUAAGAAUAUAAUCUUCGUUAUAUUAAUCUUCACAGUACACACAUGAUUUAAAUAAGAGAAUUGAUAACUAAAGUUGCCUAUUGAAUAGGAGAGAAUAAUGGAAAAAUAUCAUCAGUAAGUGAAUGAAUCACCCUAAGAAUCCUAAUCACAAGACUCAUUCAAUUGUAUAAUAUUUACAAAAUUAACACUUAUCACUCCAAUACUCAAGCCUUAGCACAGCAGCCUUAUUACUCCUGAGAGGUGGAACCAUUCUUAUGACUCCCUGAACUAGUAUCCCCCCUCAAAUUGUGUCCAGAAUGGAGACAGAGUUUGCGUCGAAAUUGUGCUAGACGAGUUUUUGUCAUUGACUUUGUAAAUAUAUCAGCAACUUGAUAUGCUGAGGGAAUGUAUCUCGUGAUCAGAACUCCUUGAGCAACGCGUUCUCUGACAUAGUCUAUAAAUCUUGAUUUUGGAUCAGUUACCAACACUCAAUAAAGUCUAUAAAUCUAUAUGCAGCCACUGAGUGUGUUGAUGGACAAGCAACUGCAAUUGGUCCUACUAGGGAUUGGAAUGCUAAUUUAGCUUCAGGUAUUUAACAGGACUUUUUGUCCAAAUGUAUUUAUGAACAAGUUCAUAAAAGGCAGGUUAGCUCUAUAUAUAACACAAGUAUAAUCUUGCAAUAUACUUGAUAAAAUUUUCUUUGAGCUGUUAUUUACACACCACCUGCAGUAGGUAUCCAGUCUUAAAUUAGUUAGAUAUUCAAUAAAAGGACUUUUUAUAUGAUUCCAAUAAUUCUCUACAUAAUAUGUUCCUUAAAACAAAAUUUGAUUCAAUUUAUUUUAACACCAUAAUUCUUUAUAAAAAAAAUAGCUACAAAAUUUCUUACAGUUAGUAAUUUAAUGGUCAUGGUCAGUAAACGGUCAGUAACUUAUUUUACAAAUCACUUUUUCCAUAAUUUGAUCAGUUAACAUGAUUUCUUCUGGUGCGUUAUUAUUUAUAAAUACUAAUAAUUACAUUGUAAAAUUUAUAAUUUAUUUUUAUUAAUAUAAUUUAUUUAAUUAAUUUAUAAUAUAAUAUUUUAAUUUACAUUUAAAAUUCACAUGUUCACGUCUAUUUUAAUGGAUUAAAAAAUUAUACAAAUAUAUAUUAUUUAAAAUAUUUCAAUUUAAUUUGUUCGAUUAAUUUACUAUUUUAAUUUAAUUUAUGUUCUAUUAACAAAUAUAAUAUUAAACUUUUAAUAGAUUAAAUAUUUUAUUAAAACUAUUAUAUGUUUUAAUAAUUUACUUAUAUUAAGGUUAGUAAUUAGAUAUAUUUGUCUAUACUAUAAAAUCUCAAUAUCAUACAAUACAUUAUUAAUAAAUAUACUACAUAAUUAGUUCAGGCGAGAAAGUGGGCAACAUGCUACAAACUAUAAUUCUUGCUAAGAAUUAGAAUUAAAUUAAAUUUGUAAUACUUUAAUAUAAAGAAAAACUAUAGUUCUUACUAAGAAUUAGAACCAAAUCAAAUUUUUAAUACUUUAAUGCAUUUCAAACUAAAUUUCGGUAUAGUUCUAAUACGAUUCUAAGUAAUUUUAGUACUAUCUCAAUUUGAUUUUAAUUUUUUUAUUUUAAUUUUAUUUCAAUUUAAAUUUUAAUUUUUACAAAUAAAAUCAUAAUAGCUUUUACGCAUAUUUUNNNNNUACAACUCUUGAUAAGAAUAUUUUAUUAUUUUAUGUAGUUAUUAAUUAUAUAAUUUUAAUUAAAAAAUGUAUGAAAUUAAUAUAUAAAUAUAUAUUAUAUUACUAAUAAUACAUUUAUAAUUGAUAUAAAAAAAGGAUGUAUAUAUCAUUCGAGUAUAAUAAUUUUUUAAAAAAUAUAUAUAUGUUAAUGAUAAUUUUAUUAAAUAACAGAUAUUAGCAAAUAUAAUAAAAAUUUGAAUAUUUCAAUUACAGUAAAAAAAUCAACUAAAAUGAUACAUUUUCUUAAUUUUAUUUUAUUAUAAUUUUUUUAUAACUUUGAUUAAAUAUAUUCAUAUAAUAAUGUGAUAUUAAGAUAAUAGGAGCCCAAAUUUAAUAGUCUAUUUGCAAUAAUAAUAAUAAUAUAUAAAAAAAUUAAUAAAGAGAUGAAAAAAUAACGGUAAAAUAUUGUUUAGUUUAUGAAAGUGUUAAAUUUGGUUGUGGAUAAAUAGAGUGGUUUAUUGAAGAUUUUGAAAUCAAAUGGACAUUCAAAGCCGCAAUAUAAAGAUUUAUUUGGCUUUAAAGAGAGAUAAAUCAACGUCAAUCAGACUGUGUAUCUUACUAGAGGUUCUUGUAUCCCACUUCUGAUUAGAUUGAUAAGAGAAUAAGAGACAGCUGAGGUUCAAGAGGUGAUUUGUUCAGAUCACAUGGGCAACUCAUACAAAAUUAAAUAUAAAAGGAAGUUUUUUCUUAGAAAUCUGAUAUAUUUUUCUAUGCUACAAAAUCUCAGUACAAGCGAGAUAGUGGGCAACAUGCUAAAAUAAAAAGCUAUAGUUCUGAUACUUUUAUCAUCAGAUUUUACUACAAUAUAUUUUAAUCUAUUAGUAAUUUUAACAGAUUUAUUAAAAAUUUUGAAAAUCCUUCAAUAAUUCUUAAUAUAAAACAUUAUAUAAAAAUUCACCAAUAGAUUUGAAAUCUGUUGGUAAUCUACUAGUAUUACUAACAAAUUUAAAAAUUUAUUGGAAAUUUAUAAAUUUAUAAAAUAAUUGGUAUUGAUAUUUAUCAACAGACUUAAAAUUUAUUAGUAAAUCAUUAACAAUUUUAAUCUGUUAGUAAAUUUAGGGGUGGAAAUGAAACAAACCGUUUGUGACCGUUUGUGAGCUAUUCGAGAUUCGACUCGAUAAAAACUUGACCGAACUCGACUCGAUUUCUAAACGAUUCAAACUCGAACUUAAUUUUUAGGCUUGUUUAGUAAACAAGGCAAACUUAAACCAUAUAGUGUCUUGUUAAGACUCGUGAGCUCGACUUGCGUUCGAAUUUAUGAGCAGACUGGUGAAUAGUCUCGUUAAGCAGACUGAAAUUAAUAUCAUAAGAGAAAUAAAUUUAACUCCUGCAUAUAUUUUCAUGAGGCAAAUCUAAAUUUUAUAAAAUUCAAUUCUAUAUUAUUUAAUUAUACUAUUAAAACUUGCAUAUUUGGAUUAUUAAGAGCUCAUUUUUAUAAGUUUAUAAGCUAAUUUUUAUAUGUGAAAGUCAGCUGCUUGCUUGAUGUGGGACGUCCCACAUCGGCGAAGUACAAAAAAUCAAAAUUGUAUAUAAUAAUUAGUAUGAAACUACUAAAUAACUUGAGUUAACCAUUUUGAGUUAGGUGGAAACUGAAUUCCAAGUUAUUUGGGUCAAAACUACCCCUGAGUCAGAGCUAGUGGCCCUGUCACAAUACCGAAGUUGAGCUUAUUAAUACUUAACUCGUCUAAAUUCAGUUCGAGUUCGAAAUGAGUAAAACUCGAGUUUGGCUUGAACUUAAAAAAAUUUUAACGAACUAAAUUUGAACUCUUCAAAUCUCAGCUCUACUCGUCGUUUACACCCUAAGUAAAAUUUUAAAAGUGUUUAAACUACUAACGGAUUUAAAAAUCCGUUACUAAAUAUUAUCAUCAAAUUAAUAAGUAUUAAAUUUAUUAACGGAUGCUAUCCACUAAUAAAUCUUUUAAUAAAUUUAAAAUAAAAUCCUACAAAAAAUUUCUGCAUUCUUUUUUUAUAACUCAUAUUUUUCAAAUUUUAAAUCCAUUGGUAAUUUUUUGAGAGAAAAAAAAAAAUUUUUUUUCAAAAUUUAGUAACGAGUCGUAAAUUUAUUAGUAAUUCACGUUUAUAAAUAUAACACAAACUCCUCUACUUUUAUCAUUCAUUCAUUUUAUAUCAUCCACCUUUCUUUCAUUUUUUUCACUUUCUCUCAUUUUCUUUUUUUCUAUUACAUUCUUUCAUUUUAUUUUUUUAUCUCAUAAUUUUUUUUUAUUUUUCUAUUAUUUUUCUUUCCUCUCUUAUCCUAUUUUCUCAUGGUUCUCUUUUAUCUUCUAUUAUUUUUUUCAUUCUUCAUAAUUUUCCUUUCAUUUUCUCCCUUUUCUUUUCCAUAUUUUUUUUUUCCUUUCCUCUCUAUACUUUUCAUUCAUAUUAGUUUUUUUAAUAUUAUUUUCUUCUAUUAUUUUCUUUCUAUUUACAUUUUUUCUAUUAUUUUCUCUUUAUUUAUUUUCUUCUCUAAGCAUUUGUUCACUUUUUUUCAUUUUUCUAAUCAUCUUUUUACUCAACUCUCAUUCAUUCUUUUUUUUCAUAAUUUUUAUUUUUCUAUUAUUUUCUUUAUUUUUCUCUUUUUUCUUUAUUUUUUAUUAUUUUCUCUCAUUUUAUACCAUUUAUUUUUUUAUUUUCACUUUUUUAGAUAUAAAUUAAAAACUUGGUAACAAUAAUAAUAUAAUUUUAAGUCUUAUUAAAUUAAUAAAAAAUUAUUUAAACUCUCAAUAGAUAUAUUAAUGAAUUGCAAUUCAUUGAUAAUUGACUAACAGAUUUCACAUCUGUUAAUAAAUUAUUUUUCUCUUAUACUAACGAAUUUAAAAUUUAUUAAUAAUUUAAAAUCUAUUAGUAAUAAUAGCGGGAAUUCCAUUAGUAAAUCCACUAGUUUACUGACGAAAUUAAAAACUGUUGGUAAAAAUUUAAUACCGACAUUUUAAUAACGGAUCGUAAUCUAUUAGAAAUCCCUUAUUAAUUAAUUUACCAACGAAUUUUUAUUAGAUUGCUAAUGGAAAAAUCAAUGCAUUAUUAAUAUAAAUUAAGAAGUUGAUUCUUAUCUUUACAAUAAGAUAUCUUUUAAACUCUUAAAAAUUUUGAAGCUAAAAUUGAAGAAACAUUCAUGACGUUAUAUUUUUCAUUUCAUGCAAGAUGAUAUCUGUUAUUGGAAUGCAUAUGAUUAUUUUAUUGAUAUAAAAUAAGUAUAAAGAAUAUACAAUUAAAAAGAUAAUUAUACUUAUCGAUCCGUUCGUAUCAUUUAAUUUUACUGUCUCUUUAUAAAUCUAUUUAUAUCCAUUUAAUUUUAAUCUCAUAUAGGUAAAUUAUAAGAGAUGAAGAGUUCUCCUUCCUUCCCUAUAAAAAGAGAAGGCCUCUCUUCCCUUCAAUAUUAGUACCUGAUUUUUUAUAAUUUAUAAUAUAAUAUACUAUAUAUUAAAUGUAUAGAAAUAAUUUAAUUAUUAUAAAUUUAAGUUAAUAUUAUUAAUAAUAAAAUAAAAUAAUAAAUAAAAUUUAAAAUGCAAAAUAUAUUUAGUGAGUUUAACAUUUCAAAAUUUUAUUAUUUUGAAAUAAUUUUAUAUNNNNNNNNNNNNNNNNNNNNNNNNNNNNNNNNNNNNNNNNNNNNNNNNNNNNNNNNNNNNNNNNNNNNNNNNNNNNNNNNNNNNNNNNNNNNNNNNNNNNNNNNNNNNNNNNNNNNNNNNNNNNNNNNNNNNNNNNNNNNNNNNNNNNNNNNNNNNNNNNNNNNNNNNNNNNNNNNNNNNNNNNNUUUUUUCCUCAUCUAUAUUAUAUACAAUUAGACUAUAAUAAUAUUUUUAAAAAUAUACAUUGAUAAUUAUUUAUUCAAUAAGGAAUAUUAUUUAAUAAAAUAAAAAAUCAAUAUUCUACAAUUAUAUUUAUAAUAUUUUAUUUAAAAAUAUAAAGUUAACAAAAUUAAUUAAUUUUCAAAUAAAUUUAAUUAAAUAUAAGGUACGGUUAUAAUAAAAUAUUAUUUUUAUGAAAAUCAAUUUAAUUAAUUCUCUAUAUUUUUAUUAAGAAUCAAAUAAAUUUAAUUUAAAAUUUUUAAAACUUUAAGCUAAUUAAACUAUAUAAUUUUAUUAAAGGCUAAAUAGAUUCUAACUUAAAAUGAUUUUUUAAUAAUAAAAUAUUAUUUUUAUAAUUUAAAAUAUUAAAAUUUAAUAUUUUAAUUAUCAUAAAAUUUUUAAAAAUAUAUAAAUAUAAUAAAUAAUUUUUAAAAUUAUAAAAAAAAAAGUUUUAUCAUAUAAAAAUUUUUAUUAUUAAAAAAUAAUAUUAUGUUAGAUUAUGAUUUAUUUGACUUUUGAGUAAUAAUAUAGAGAUUUAAUUUAUUUAAAAUUUUGAAUUAAAAUUAUUUAACUCUUCAAUAAAAGUAGAGACUUAAUUGCAUUUAUAUUUAUAAAAUUAUUAUUAUAAAAUGAUAAAUUUAAUUUGUUAUUAAAUAAUAUUUUUAUAUGAAAAAUUAAUUAAAAAAAUUACAAAAUGUGGCGCAUAUAAACAAUUCCCAAUUUCCUUUUGUUAUCCUUACCACAUUACCAGCAGGCAGAGAGCCUUCCUUUUCCGAUUCUCUAUUUCCGUUUCUCAUUCCCAAUCUCCGAUCCAUCCCUAAAAACGACUGACAAGAGAUCGAUGAUGAUGAAGAUGCCUUGGAGGAGGAAGAGCAGGAGCUUCCAUCUUCAGCUACAAGGGGCAAUUGGUACCAUUCAAUCUCCAUUCCUAUUCUUAUUUACCAAUUAUUGUCAUUCUUCUACUUCCACACUUGAAGAUGCACGCUUCUUGACAAAUAACUUCAAAUCUGCUUCUUUUACCCACCUUGAUGAUGCCAUUGCUUCCUUCAAUCAUGUAAUUCAUAAGCAUCCUCUGCCUUCUAGGGUUCCAUUUAAUAGAUUCUUAUCUGCCCUUGUGAAAAUGAAACAAUAUCACACUGUCCUUUCCAUGUCCAAAACAAUUGAAUUGCUAGGAAUCUCUCACGAUGUUUAUUCUCUUAGCAUAUUAAUUAAUUGCUUCUGCCAUUUACACAUUGUGGAUUUUGGCUUCUCUGUUUUUGGUAAGAUGCUCAAAUUCGGAUUGGAGCCUACCACUGUGACGUUUACUACCUUAAUUAAUGGGCUUUGUAUGGAGAGUAAAAUCCAUAAAGCAGUGGAAUUUUUCGAUGAUAUGGUUGCACGUGGUUAUCAACCUAAUGUUCGUACUUUCAAUGUGAUAGUAAACGGAUUGUGUAAAUUUGGGAAAACAAACGUGGCUAUUGGGCUACUAAAGGGAAUGGCUGAUAGAGGUUGUGAGCCAAAUGUUGUGACAUACAAUGCAAUCAUUGACGCACUUUGCAAGGAUGAGCUAGUUGGUGAAGCUUUAGAGCUCUUCUCUCAAAUGAGGAAUAAGGGCAUUUCACCUGAUGUCAUCACUUACACUAGUUUAAUUCAUAGUGUUUGCAAAUUAGGCCAAAAGAACCAAGCUUUGGCCUUGAUGAAUGAAAUGGU